CUGAGGCAAGAGGAUCACUUGAGUCCGGGAGUUCAAGGCUGCAGUGAGCCAUGAUUGCACCACUGCACUCCAGCCUGGGUGACAGAAUAAGACUUUGUCACACACACACACACACACACACACACACACACACACACAGAAUAAAAAAGAGUUUUGUGGUCAGGCAUGGUGGCACAUGCCUGUAAUCCCAGCAUUUUGGGAGGCUGAGGUAGGAGGGUCACUUGAGCCCAGGAAUUCAAGACCAGCCAGGGCAAUGUGGUGAGAACCCCAUCUCUACAAAAAAUAAUUUAAAAAUUAGCUGGACAUGGUGACACAUACUUGGAGCCCCAGUUUCUGGGAGGCUGAGACUGGAAGACUGCUUGAGCCCAGGGCUUUGAGAUUGCACUGAGCUAGGACUGUGCCACUGUACUCCAGUAUGGAUGACAGAGUGAGAUCGUGUCUCAAAAAUAAAUACAUAUUUUUUUAUUAAUUUAUUAUUUAUCAAAAAUAAAUAUACAUAAAUAAAUGGAGUGUUAUUAUACUCUUCAAAAUUGAAAGCCAGAAUCAUCUGCCAAAAAUAAAAAGUAAAAAUAAAAAGUAUUUGCCUGGUUAUUAUAACAUUUAUAUUAAUAUAUCAGGGAAUGCCUUGGCCAGGGCAAAGCUGCCUGGUAAACAGGGGCAGGAUCAAUGUUACUCUGAUAGCUGAGAGAGUUUUUAUGACUAGAACUAUUUUGAAAACUGCUGGGAAAGCUGGCUUAAGUCCAAAUAUGGAAGAAAUUUCUAUUGUAAACUUCAUUGUACUGCUGUAUUGUACUGCUGUGAGGAUUCUCCUACCACCACAGACCCACCUGUUUGGCACAACAUUCUGUAGACAGAAAGUUCUAGAAUGAGAUAUGUUGAACAGGCUUUUAAAUACGAAGUGCCACACACAUUUAAAAGAACAGAUGGUGGCAUUUCAGCUCUGAGAAAAUUAACAGUGUGGACAUCUGCCAUUUGUAUGACCUUGCCCAAGUGUCACUUUAUCACCUCUGAUAUUAACUGGUGAUGUGUCUUUUCCUGAGUGGAGAAAAUAAAUGAGACUACUAAGCUAAGAAGAGAUCUUUUCAUUCUCUACUGGUCAGAGGAGAAAUCUGGAAACCCAGCCAAAGAAUACAGUCUAACCUUUGUUCAGACACUAGCAUGAAGGAGAGAGAAAAGGGCUGUGGGAUAAUGAGAUACUUGUGUCUUCAACUUGCAGUGGCCGUUGGAAUGCGACACUCCACAGCAUACAACAAGCCCUUCUAAUACGCUAAGGCUGGAGACAGACAAGUGUGUCUAGUUAGAUCUAAUAUUGCUUUUCCUGGCGCUUAAGGUGAAGGCCCCUACACAGAUGUGGUCCCAAUAUGGAGAUGGAAGUAUGAGGGCCUAGCUUGCCCAGGAAGUCACCCAGACUGUAGGCAUUAACGUGCAAGAGUUUUGCCACCCUGGAAAGCAACAGUAGGGUUGUGUGUGUGUUUUCUACUACCAUCUCUUGCUCUGGCCUGCUGCCAUUUACAGUAGUUGUGGGCUAAAAAAAAUGCAAACUGUUCUCUAUAAUAAUACUCCCAAGUUUAUGUAAACAACAAUUCCAAUACAAAACAACUCAGAUAAGCAUAUAAAGACCAGGAACAUAACAUUUCUCAUAAGGAAAGACUGGGGCCCACCCUGCCCCAGAAUGACCUCAUCUUAACUAACUACAUCUUCAACGACCCUGUUUCCAUAUAAGAUCACAUUCUGAGGUACUGGGGGUUAGGACUUCAACAUAUGAAUUUGGGUGGGACAUAAUUCCACCCAUAACAUACCCCUAAGCCUGAGAGGAGAUGGAAAAGAAGGUGUUGUGGAGCCUACUUGAGCCCUGAAGCCCAGCAACAGCUGUCGUCAGAGACCGCCACAGCUGUGCCAGCACCACACCAAAGCAGGCAGAGGCUGGCGAAAUAAAUACAACUCUAACCUGUCUCUCAUCCCACUCUCCAGGCACCAAACCCAAUCAGGACAGAGGACAAGGGAACCAGCUGAUACCAUUUGGGGAAGUCACAGAGAAGGGAGGAGAAUGGAUACGAUGCAGAAACCAAGCUUCGAGAAAGUGGAGUGACUUGCCCAAAGUCACACAGCUUUGGGAGGAUCUGAACCCAGUUGGUGUGUCUCCAGACCGAACUAUCUUAACUGCAAUAUUAUACUGUUUGUUAAUUCAGCAAAUCCAUGGCCCUCAGCCCUCUUUAAGUGAUACCUAAACAGACAACUAAGGGUAAACUUUUGGGUUGUGUUUUUCAUCGAAGGAUAACAUAUCUUACCAGGCUGGGACAAUAAAGAGCAAAUGAUUGUUAAUAUCAUAAUUUCUGUCUCCCCAGAAAUUAGCCAGUAUGUAUCAACCAAACAGAAUUGGCUAGCCAAACAAUUUCCUCAUUAUUACCAUACAAUGCAGCUUAAAUUAAAACUAUAGUUUCUCGCUCACAAAAUGGACAAUAGUACUUGGCACAUGUAGGUUGCUUAGCAAACACCUGUCCAUGGAUGUGUCAUACAAGAGUGCUCACAAUACAGGCUGCCAGUUGCCCUGUGGAGCGGCCAGGGAAGGCCUGCCCUAGUUUCACCCACCCCAUCCAUCUCCCUGGGCACACCUGCUCCUGCCAUCGGCACUCCUACUAUCAUGGCUGCAUCUGGGGUUUGGAGUUCACAGAAACCUCUUAAAAAGGCACCCAAUUGCUCAACUUUGCUAAGCAGAUGAAGAGUGAAAUAAAUGUUGCUUCACCAGCUGGGCUGGAAACCAAAUGAAAAUGCAGCAUCUCCAGGCAAUUUCCUUAAAAUGGAUCAACUUGAAACAUUCUCUAUCACAGGACCAGUAGACAGGAGAGGAGCCAAAGAAGGAAGGACUGUGCGUGUCGGAGCAGACAAAGAAUUAAUAAAAGGGUCACUGAACCUGCUCUGAAUCUCAGAUGCAUCCUUCGUGAAGUGAAAAAAGAUUCCCCUGAGCUGCUAAGAGCAAGGAAACACAAUCCGGGCUGAGCUGGAAACUCUAGAUCUGCUACAACCUGGUUAAUUGCUACUGGGCAGAGAGGCAAAGAAUAGAUAAAAAUUUGCAGCUGUAAAAAAAAAAAAAGAAAUCUGAAAGGGAUAGAGCAGCUUAGUAAAAAGAAAGCUGGAAUCUGAAGCCACCUCCAUUCAUUCAUGGAACACCUAUGAGGCGCCUAUUCCCAUAGUGUCACAAGCACUGACUGUCGUAGGUCCAGGGAGACACAGGUCCCUCAAAGAGCUUACUCCUAGAGUAGCAGGUUUAUAUUUGUAAUUAUAAACAAAUAACUACAGUAAAAUGUGGCAAGUGGCAAGAAAGAGAAAGGCACAAA
rnacentral:lncRNA from 10 species